CAUGGGAAACUCAAUAUAUAUCAAGCAUGUACUAUAAACUCCACAAUACGUCAUUUGUUACUUAUGAAAAUGUGAUAAUACAAAGAAAAGAAGGCAUGCAACGAACUAGCCUUCCCUUCUAACCAAUUAGAAUACAAUAUAUCUUCCUUUGAAAACAUAAGCAAACUAUAAGCAUACAAAAUACCAAAUUAAACACACUGAAAAAUAAAUAUAUGAAGUGGAAAUUUUCUGCAGGGAGAAAGUUAUUGGCUAGCUAGUUUAUGCGCAUUGGAAAUCCUUAGGAACAUACUUUCCACAGUUGUUGAGCAACAAACUGAGGGAAAGAGGUACGUUGAGGUUAAUUCCCAAUAAAUUGGCUUUAAUUGCAGUGCAAAGGCAAACAGCAGCAUCAAGAUCAGCAAGUCCAUGAAUUAGAGAACAACAUGGAGUCUUGGCUGGAUCACUUCCUAUACCAAGGUGCACUAAGUCAUUCAAUAAGCUGGCACACACUUUUAGCUUAAGUGUGUCCUUUGGGCACUUACCCUUUGAUGAUGGGGUGGAUGGGGUGGAUGGGGUAGAGGGGGUAGAGGGGGUAGGGGUUAGAGAACAACAAGGAGUCUUGGCUGGAUCACUUCCAAUAACAAGGUGCACCAAGUCAUUCAAUAAGUUGGCACACACUUUUAGCUUAAGUGUGUCCUUUGGGCACUUACCUUUUGAUGAUGGAGUUGAUGGGGUGGAUGGGAUAGAG
rnacentral:lncRNA from 1 species